rnacentral:rRNA from 1 species
GGAGUUAGCCGGUGCUUCUUCUGUGAGUGAUGUCCUUCCUGCCGGCUAUUAACCCGCAGGCCUUCUUCCUCACUGAAAGUGCUUUACAACCCGAAGGCCUUCUUCACACACGCGGCAUGGCUGGAUCAGGGUUGCCCCCAUUGUCCAAUAUUCCCCACUGCUGCCUCCCGUAGGAGUCUGGGCCGUGUCUCAGUCCCAGUGUGGCUGAUCAUCCUCUCAGACCAGCUACGGAUCGUCGCCUUGGUGAGCCGUUACCUCACCAACCAGCUAAUCCGACAUAGGCUCAUCCGAUAGCGCGAGGCCCGAAGGUCCCCCGCUUUCCCCCGUAGGGCGUAUGCGGUAUUAGCCUGGGUUUCCCCAGGUUAUCCCCCACUACCGGGCAGAUUCCUAUGCAUUACUCACCCGUCCGCCGCUCGCCACCAGGGAGCAAGCUCCCCGUGCUGCCGCUCGACUUGCAUGUGUUAGCGUCGCCGCCACGCGUUCAUCUGAGCCANAGACACAACUACUCGACGAGAGGCGGCGCGACGACGCGC